GAGUUUGAUCAUGGCUCAGAUUGAACGCUGGCGGCAUGCCUUACACAUGCAAGUCGAACGGCAGCAUGAUCUAGCUUGCUAGAUUGAUGGCGAGUGGCGAACGGGUGAGUAAUACAUCGGAACGUGCCCUGUAGUGGGGGAUAACUAGUCGAAAGAUUAGCUAAUACCGCAUACGACCUGAGGGUGAAAGUGGGGACCACAAGGCCUCAUGCUAUAGGAGCGGCCGAUGUCUGAUUAGCUAGUUGGUGGGGUAAAGGCCCACCAAGGCGACGAUCAGUAGCUGGUCUGAGAGGACGAUCAGCCACACUGGGACUGAGACACGGCCCAGACUCCUACGGGAGGCAGCAGUGGGGAAUUUUGGACAAUGGGCGAAAGCCUGAUCCAGCAAUGCCGCGUGUGUGAAGAAGGCCUCGG
rnacentral:rRNA from 1 species